CCUCCGUCGCUACACGUCCCCAAUAUUUCACUGGAAAUUGCAAUCACGUAUGUACCUUCUCUCCAACUCAUUUAAAUUGGACUAUCAGCAUGCGUGCUUCACCUAAGACCAGUAGAAUUUGCGUACAAAUUAGAGUUCGAUUUAGGGUUGAAAUUCUUGUUAGGAUCUUGGAUGCUUUGACAUUCCAUCAUGACGUAGACUUGCCUCAUUUUUGGUCACAUGAAGCUGGGGAUGGGCAUGAAAAUCAUGCUCCUUCUUUGUAUUUGGUGCGCUUGUAAUCCAUUAAUGUCAUCGUCUCGCCACUCCUUUCAAAUUUUCAAUUCCACAGUUUAUGUUUUUUGUCAGGAGCCACUUACUCCUUUGUCAAGCAUUUAUUGCCAAAAGGUAGCAGGAGGUUUCUUUCUCGGUGCUUCGAUCUCCAUGGAGCAGAUUUCGUUUUCAUGCUUAUUUGCAAAUUUAUUGCUACUAAAUUCCGUGAUGUUCAAAUGAUGCAGUCAUGAGUGAGGCGACGCGCACGUCCACCUCUUGCAUCGUGGAAGUUGCUAUUGUAAUUAAGUUCGUGUGGACGAAAUCCUUCAAUAGUGUCAGCAAAGAAAAGUUUCGUAGAGCAAAUAAAAUUCCUGUCAUAUUGACGUAGUUUUUUACUUCCUAAACGUUUACAUUUGUGACCAGCGUCAACCAGGCUCUCAUCUGCCAACUUUCUGAAACUGAAUGUUGAGAAUGCAGGUAGAUGUAAAGAGCCUAAAAUUCAUUCUGAAUUGCAGAAGAGAAGGGAACAACCAUCGUUGGCUCGCCUCGAAAACAUGACUCUGCCUGAGGUGCUCAUCGUUUUAAGUUUUUGGAGUACAAUUUAAUGUCAGGUUUCUAUCAGUAACUUAAAUGUUUCAAAUUGGGAAUCGAAUUUGAGUGAAAUAGAACACAGAUUUUCAAACCUUCGUUCUGCAUUAUUGACUUGUAAAUGAUCCAUUUGUUUGUGGCAGUUGGUGACAAAAUCUUUUAGUGGAAAGGCCACUAUCUUCACAGAAGUUAAACAUGAGUAGGUACUUGAAUUCUUUGGGAAUUUGGUGCUUCAUAUGUAACGCUAGUUCGACAUCGUGAUGCAUACUUGAUAUAUAUUUUCACAAUUUGCUUACCGUAUUAGUUUUUGGGCGACAUUGAGGAUUCUAGUAGCAUUGCAAUCGUUUUAGCUCACUCUAAAUGAA
rnacentral:lncRNA from 1 species